UACGGAGGGGGCUAGCGUUGUUCGGAAUUACUGGGCGUAAAGGGCGCGUAGGCGGUGCGAUCAGUCAGGCGUGAAAGGCCCGGGCUCAACCCGGGGACUGCGCUUGAUACUGUUGCGCUGUGAGUCCGGGAGAGGAUGGCGGAAUUCCCAGUGUAGAGGUGAAAUUCGUAGAUAUUGGGAAGAACACCGGUGGCGAAGGCGGCCAUCUGGACCGGCACUGACGCUGAGGCGCGAAAGCGUGGGGAGCAAACAGG
rnacentral:rRNA from 1 species